rnacentral:rRNA from 1 species
CUACGGAGGGUGCAAGCGUUAUUCGGAAUCACUGGGCGUAAAGGACGCGUAGGCGGGUUGGCAAGUCAGAUGUGAAAUCCUACAGCUUAACUGUAGAACUGCAUUUGAAACUGCUAACCUAGAGUAUGAGAGGGGGAGAUGGAAUUAGUGGUGUAGGGGUAAAAUCCGUAGAUAUCACUAGGAAUACCGAAAGCGAAGGCGAUCUCCUGGAACAUAACUGACGCUAAGGCGUGAAAGCGUGAGGAGCAAACAGAAUUAGAAACCCUAGUAGUCC